rnacentral:rRNA from 1 species
CUAAGCACGAAACUUGCCCCGAGAUGAGUUCUCCCUGACUCCUUGAGAGUCCUGAAGGAACGUUGAAGACGACGACGUUGAUAGGCCGGGUGUGUAAGCGCAGCGAUGCGUUGAGCUAACCGGUACUAAUGAACCGUGGGGCUUAACCUUACAACGCCGAAGGUGUUU